AGGCAGCAGUGGGGAAUAUUGCGACAAUGGGCGCAAGCCUGAUGCAGCCAUGCGCGUGUGUGAGAAGGCUCGGGUUGUAAAGCACUUCGGUCGUGAGGAAGGUAGUGUAGUUAAUAGCUGCAUUAUUUGACGUUAGCGACAGAAGAAGCACCGGCUAACUCCGUGCCAGCAGCCGCGGUAAUACGGAGGGUGCGAGCGUUAAUCGGAAUUACUGGGACGUAAAGCGCAUGCAGGUGGUUUGUUAAGUCAGAUGUGAAAAGCCCCGGGGCUCAACCUCGGAAUAGCAUUUUAGAAACUGGCAGACUAGAGUACUGUAGGAGGGGGUAGAAUUUCAGGUGUAGCGGUAGAAAUGCGUAGAGAUCUGAAGGAAUACCGGUGGCGAAGGCGGCCCCCCUGGACAGAUACUGACACUCAGAUGACGAAAGCGGUGGGGAGACAAACAGGAUUAGACUACCCUGGUAG
rnacentral:rRNA from 1 species